rnacentral:rRNA from 1 species
AGAGUUUGAUCCUGGCUCAGAACGAACGCUGGCGGCGUGCUUAAUACAUGCAAGUCGAACGAGAAAAUCCGGCUUCAGCUUCGGUUGAAGUUGGGUGAGUAAAGUGGCGAACGGGUGAGUAACACGUGGAUAAUCUACCCCUGAAUCCGGGAUAAUCCUUCGAAAGGGGGUCUAAUACCGGAUAACACCGCCGGGUGACAUCAUCUGGCGGUCAAAGGCGGGGCAACCUGCCGCUUGGGGAUGAGUCCGCGCUCUAUUAGCUUGUUGGUGAGGUAACGGCCCACCAAGGCUUCGAUGGAUAGCCGACCUGAGAGGGUGACCGGCCACACUGGGACUGAGAUACGGCCCAGACUCCUACGGGAGGCAGCAGUAGGGAAUAUUGCGCAAUGGACGAAAGUCUGACGCAGCAACGCCGCGUGGGUGAUGAAGCUCCUUGGAGUGUAAAACCCUGUCAGUGGGGAAGAACCGUACGGGGAGUAACUGCCCUGUACCUGACGGUACCCACAGAGGAAGUCCCGGCUAACUCCGUGCCAGCAGCCGCGGUAAUACGGGGGGGACAAGCGUUGUUCGGAUUUACUGCGCGUAAAGGGCGCGUAGGCGGGCCAUCAAGUCGGAUGUGAAAACCAGCAGCUCAACUGCUGGCCUGCAUUCGAUACUGUUGGUCUUGAGUACAGGAGAGGAGAGCGGAAUUCCAGGUGUAGCGGUGAAAUGCGUAGAUAUCUGGAGGAACACCGGUAGCGAAAGGCGGCUCUCUGGGCCUGAUACUGACGCUCAAGCGCGAAAGGCUUGGGGAGCAAACAGGAUUAGAUACCCUGGUAGUCCAAGCGGUAAACGAUGGGUACUAGUGUCGGGGGUAUCGACUCCCUCGGUGCCGAAGCUAACGCAUUAGUACCCCGCCUGGGGAAUACGUCGCNGNUG